rnacentral:tRNA from 1 species
GCCAGCGUGGUGUAAUGGUUUGAGCAUUGGACCAUAAGUCUAGAGACCAGGGUUCAAGUCCCAGCUCAGCCA